GGCAACUUGCCCGAGUGGCUAAGGGGUUAGACUCGAAAUCUAAUGGGCUAUGCCCGCGCUGGUUCAAAUCCAGCAGUUGUCG
rnacentral:tRNA from 1 species